GGUUAGAAAGCGAACUUAUUGCCCCUAGUUUCGACCUAGGUCUUGGUAAAUUUUAUUACCUCCAACCA
rnacentral:tRNA from 1 species